GAUGAAGAACGUAGCGAAAUGCGAUACUUGGUGUGAAUUGCAGAAUCUCGUGAACCAUCGAGUCUUUGAACGCAAGUUGCGCCCGAAGCCAUCAGGUUGAGGGCACGUCUGCCUGGGCGUCACAUAUCGUUGCUCGAUGCCUAUCGCAUUGCGAUAGGACUUAGGGCGAAUGAUGGCUUCCCGUGAGCGUUGUUGCCUCGCGGUUGGUUGAAAAUCGAGUCCUUGGUAGGGUGUGCCAUGAUAGAUGGUGGUCGAGUUAGCACGAGUCCGAUCAUGUGCAUGCUCCCCAAAAUAUGGCCUCUGUGACCCACACGCGUCUUUUGACGCUCAUGACGAGACCUCAGGUCAGGCGGGGCUACCCGCUGAAUUUAAGCAUAUCAAUAAGCGGAGGA
rnacentral:misc_RNA from 1 species